rnacentral:lncRNA from 1 species
UUACCUUGUUAAGAAUGGUAUCGAUGGAAUUAGUGAAGGGAUGUGUGGUACACAGACCAAUAGAUCCGUGCGUCCUUGAUACACGCAUGUACGUACAGGAAGGUUGAUGGGUUGAAACUUGAAAGGAGAUUGAUUCAUCUCUCGACCAGACAAUACAAGAACAUGAUUUCGUUCUGUAUCUUUAGCCCAAGCACCCCUAUCUCUGUGUUCUCUUAUUUCUUCGCACUGUCCUCAUCACCUCGGCAUCCCGAUCUAGUGCCUCUGGCCAUGCCACCCCGGUGACGUCGCCCCAGCCUGCCCACUUGUGUUGCACGGCUUCUCCACAAGCUUUUGCUUCUGUGUUUGCUGCGUCAGCCCCACCAUGCCAUGGCCACUAUCUCGCAAUAUGGGAAAAUCUGGAGGGGAGAGGCAAUUAAAAAAAGAAUUUGGUUCUUGCUUUCCAAUUAAGAUCUGAAUGAAGACGUUGUGGCGUCAAGAGACGGCCAUCUGAAUUUCCACGACGACACAAAACUGAAUGCAAGUAAUAUUGCUCUAUGAAAAUCUACACAGGAGUACACCAAGAGCUGCACGGACAUUUUCUCCAUGUAGUAUGGUUAAAACUACCCUGUUCCACUGUUUCUCGUUUCCAAAUCUGCAAUUCAUAAGCACAAAAAGGUAAAUCCUUAGGUUCAGUAUUUUGUUCAGAACAGAAAAACAAAUCUUCUUAGUUGGGAUGCACCUUAUGCAGAUGUAUAAAAGUCUAGUACUCUGUUCCUCCUUUCCAAAUCUGCAAUUCCUUGCUUUCCAAAUCAGACUGCUUAAUUUACAAACAAAGAAACUUGUGUUGCUUGCCAUGAAAGAGAUGGAGGCAGGGAAAUAAAACCGUAGAAAACAUGAUGCGUAUGCUGCUUGUUGUGGAAGAGAUGGAGGCUCAAGAUGUGGCAUGUGUCGCUGUCGUGGAAGAGAUAGGGGCUGACGGGCUCGGGAGCGGAGCACCUUGAGAGGACGCCGGAGCAGGUCGGCACCCGCACAUCCUGCCUCGCUUCAGUUGCCUGAUGCGCACCCCCCUCCCCGAGCGUAGCACCGCCUCCCCGCCAUU